UGUGUGUGUGUGUGUGUGUGUGAGAGUGUAUAAACCGAGCAGUGUCCUAUCCCAUUGUCCAUGAGACCCGCAGAUCUCUGGCUGAGCAGGUGUUUGGUCUGCAGCUGUGAAUCCAGUCCUCUGCUGGUCAGAGAAGUGUGGCCCCUAUGCCCCCCAUCCCAAGGGCCUGAUCUCAGUUCUGUCCACCCCACAUGCACAGCACCUCUAAUGAGAACCCAGCUGCCACAUAACAUCCUCAUAACACUAAUCAGAGGUUGUGAGAGUUAUGAAUGAGGACUCGGUUUCAGCCGUGCAAUGGUCAAAACAAUGGAGACCGUUUUGUCACAGUUGGGGAGGAGCUUGUCUGCCGAGCUAUCAUGUGAGCAUUUUGGCCAAUCACAGUCAUCCAUUACAAGACCACUGUGUUACAUUCCUGCUGAAACCAGUCAUCUUACAUCUUUGCUUCUCACUGGACGCGUGACAUUUUCACAUAUUGUUGGCCUGCUGUCAGGUUUUAAAGCCUGUGUAUUUCAAAGGCUACAUUUUAAAUAUCUUUGUUUUUAGAGAAUGUGAUUGACUUGCUUUUGCACUCCUUUAAAGGCUUAUGCAUUACAUUGUCUUAAAAGUGAAAUUUCAGGUAGCUGCCAUCACUCUUAUGUUUGUUACAUGCAGUCCCACAUAGGGCCAUACAUGCCAUAAACGGAGUUUGACACAUUAGCUGUCAGUGGGGUCACAUUAUUACCACUCCUGUCACUCUUGAGCACCUGUUCAGGGUCUUCAUAGUCAUUCAAGUGUUUACUACUGUGACAACGGGGCAGCCAUGUUGCUACCCAGCUAAAGCCAAGUUAAUCUCACCCCUCAGUGUAUGAGCGCAUGUAAGUGAGGGAGACAGUCAGCAACUGCCAUCUGAUCUGCAAAUCACAGCCCUGUCCUGAACCUGCUCCGCCAGCUAACUUUCCGCCAUUUUCUCUCCUUGCUGUCUAACUGUGUGUUAUUAGAUGUCCUAUACCCCUCUCCAGAAACACAACCGAAUUUGAGUUAACUUCAGUGUCAGUAUUCUGUGGGCUUGUAAACCAGUGUUAAUAUUGUGGAACGAGUUUCUUUAUAUCCACGUUGCUGAUGAGAGCUGGAGAAGGGAGGAGGAAGUUUAUGGAAAUGCCAAGCAAAAAGCAAUAAAAGAUGCAAGGAUGUUAACUGUCUGCCAUGUGAUCGUUGUUUUUAUUCAAAUGCUUUGCCUGUAAAUGUAUUAAAUAUACUGUACAUGUCUGCUACAUAUUACACAUAUAUACAUGUAGCACCAUACUUAACUAUAAGAACACCCUACCAUCUUGAGAUUUUGCUCAGUGGAGAAAAGUACAAUUGAAAAUGUAUGUCGGUGAGGCCACUUGAUAGCAGGAUUGUUUAUGGAAACAGUCAAGUGAGAUGUGUGUAUACAUUAUCGGUUGUAAUUAAUAAAAAACCAUAAAUGUAGCUUCAAAUUGGUCUACCAAUGAAAGCAGGUUAUUAACACAGUAAGGCUAUCAAAAAAUAAUGCAGUUGAAGUUAAACUCUACCCUUCCGACUUGAACAGCAGAGCCCAGCCCUGUGUGUUUAGCCACUGGACCUCUGGGUGUAGACAGUCUAACUUAGCAGACCCGUAACAAUAUUAGAUUUCCAUUUAAAGGGGGAGGGUGUGGAGGGGCUGCAGUGUGGACACAACUCACAGGAGGAAUGACAGGCCUAGAAGAAGAGGUGGAACUGACAGCUAAUAUAUAACCCCAACCCCCAUGCAGCAGAGAGAAUAUCCCUGAGGAGCUGGUGGUGGGCUCAUUAAAUGACCGAGGGACAGCUUGUCUUGCCUAUAGAUUUUCUUUUUUGUUUGAUUUACAUCAAAAAGAAUUAGUUAUUUUUUUGUUGUUGUUUUCAGACAUUGUCUAACAUCAGGGGAAAUCAUUUCACAAUGAGUUAAUAUAACACGAGAGUAUCAGUGUAUAAUGUAAGAACUGUCCACACAAGUACAAGUUCAUGUACAAAACUCCAGGUCUGAGAUUUUGCAGUACACUUCGUCACACUCCACUUUGUUCAGCUUCCUGUCUGUGACCCUCAUUCCAGCAUUCCUGCACUGCUCUGUCCAUUUAGCAGUGCCAGUGUCUGCUUCAUUUCUGCUCUCCUCCCCAGGCUCCUGCUCUUUCUCCAUUAAAUGUAAAUAUACACUGGAUGGAGGUGACGUGUUCCGGCUGCCUCUGCAGUGGAAAAAACAGUUGCUAUAGCAACUGCAGCCCUUGUUACUAUGGAAACCCAGUGUCGUAUUGAGUUGGCCGAGCUGUGCAUCACCAUCACAGUGGAAACGAAGGGAAGGAGGAGUGAUGAAGGAAAUGAGGGUGGUGAAGAUGGUGGAGGGGAUGAAGGGAGCCGGCCCCCUCUUCAGGUUACAGCGUUUUGAUGCCCACUGUGUCGAUGAAGCUGGCCGUGGAGAGGUCCAGGAUGAUGGAGUGGAUCUCUGUGGUGCUCUUUUCCAUGGAGCACAGGGACAGCUCCCUGCUUAAGGUGUCCCCACAGCUGGAGGCCUGGGUGCCAGUGGUGUCAGCCUCCAGCGCUGAAGGUGUGUCAGGUGCUGCCCCGUUCUGCUUCCCCCAGGUCCCGUUCUUCUCUUUCCAGCGGCCCGUGGCCUCCUCUACCGAAAAGACCGCCUCGCUGCUGUCACCUGCUUGGACCCCAUUCUGAGUGACAGGGGAGACGGGACAAGGUCACAUUCUAAAACUUGCCGUCUAUGGCGAUUUGCAAGUGUGUAUACCAAUGGCAAGUAUGUACAGGUUUGUGCAUGUUAGAACCGGCAAGUGCAUGUGUUUAGAGGUAUGUACAUGUGUGAACAGGGAUGUAUAGGGGUUCGUGGGUAUAUAAAUGUGCAAGCAGUUUUUAUAGUGGUUUGCAGAUGUCUCAAUGUGUUCACAGGUGAUUACAAAUGUAUACAGGUGUGUGCAUGUGACAGUUUAUAUUUUACAGAUAAGCUGAAUGUUGGAUCACCUUGGCCUCUCUCUUGGCUCUCUUUUUCUCUCUCUUCUCCAUGCGUUUCUGUUUAGCCAACAGCUUUUUCUUCUGAGUCAGCAGCUUUCUAAUGUCGAUUCCAGUCUGAGGACAGAGAAGACAGUUUGCAUUAAGUGUUUAUACCUUGACUCUCUGGCCAUACUCUGCUGACUUUUGAAGAGUUAACAUGUUUUAAUCCAUAUUUACCGGUUAUGUAAAAGUAUGUAUUCUGUCCUAUUCAACAUUGCUUGUUGUCUUCUAUACAAUAAGGGAUGACUGAGUAACCAAUAGACACCAGUAUCACAGGCCUUGAGCAUAAAAAUAAACAGGAACAUGCAGCUGGGUGGUGGGAACUCACUUUACUUUUUGACCCAAUGAGGUGGUCGUCCUUGGUACUGGCACAAGCAUGCUUGCACAAUCUUUCUUAAAGGGUUUAAAGGAAUUGUUCCCAAAGACAAAGCAGUGUAGAGGUGCAGCGAGACAACAUUGUGGACUGUCUGGUCAUGAGGUCAUGAUUCAUUUGUUUACCUAAACCUCUGUAGUAAAAACAUACUCCUUAGACAUGUUCACAAGGAUAUUGGCAGAGAAAAUAGAUGCUAACCUUCUCUUGUAGGGCUUCCAGGUAGAGCUCAGCAUUGGCAAAGUACACUGUGGUGGACGAACGAAAGAUGGUGAUGCCUGGAACUUUUCUUGCCUGCAGUCACGAAAGGAAAAUUGGAAAUUCCUUUAACACCUACAAACCCUCAACAUCUUACCCCUGCCCUCUAGAGAGCCACCCUCUUUUCCUCUCCAUACUUCUCCACUCCUCCCUUCUCCUUUCCUCUCAUCUCCUUUCUCUCUUCUCUUCUCUCCUCUUUUCUCAUCAGUGUCUGCCCUGCUUCUGCCUUACCUCUUCAUAGGUCUCCAUAUCAAGAUAGAUCCCUGUGCCAGGCACCUGCCCCAGGACUGAGUAUCUAGGCCUGAGAGAGAGAGAGAGAUAGGGGUGGGGGGGUGAAUGUGAGAUAGAAGAGGAGACAUGUAGUUUCACCUGUAAUGAAUAGCAAGAGACAUUUAGAUUUACUAGAGAGAGAAAGAGAGAAGGAGGGAGAGAGAGAGUGAGAGAAGCUGGGUUUGAAGCCUCACAGCUGUGUUCUGAAGAUAACAGUCAGCAGGGCGAAGGCGAUGGAGGCAGCCAGGCCCAGGUCCAGGUUGAGCAGUAGUGUGGCGACUAGGGUAACCAGCCACACCAACUGGGGACAUAAGGGAGAAAAAAGCACAAGCACAUAAAUUUAUAAAAAUAAAAAUAAAAUAAAAAUAUAUUUUUUAAAUUA